rnacentral:rRNA from 1 species
GACGUAGGGCGCGAGCGUUGUCCGGAUUUAUUGGGCGUAAAGAGCUCGUAGGCGGCUUGUUGCGUCGACCGUGAAAACCCGGGGCUCAACUUCGGGCUUGCGGUCGAUACGGGCGGGCUAGAGUUCGGUAGGGGAGAAUGGAAUUCCCGGUGUAGCGGUGAAAUGCGCAGAUAUCGGGAGGAACACCGGUGGCGAAGGCGGUUCUCUGGGCCGUUACCUGACGCUGAGGAGCGAAAGCAUGGGGAGCGAACAGG